GUCUAGACUCGAAAAUCUCUCUGUUACAAGGUCUGCCAUGUAGGGAUCCUUUUCAAUUGCAAGGACAGUGGCACCAGAAUUGACAAGAACAUUUGUCAGGGAACCGGUACCAGGCCCAAUUUCAACCACCAAAUCUCCUUCUUGCACAUCAGCAGCAGCAACUAGUUGAUCGUUUACCUCUGAAUUCAGCAUGUAAUGCUGCCCAAGUGACUUUCUUGGAAAACGACCUUUAGAGUUGAGAGCUUUGAGAGUGGCAUGAUAGUCGUCCUCGGCCUUGUUGUUUAUUCUUGUUUCGCUUGUAGUUUUAGAUACUGCAGCU
rnacentral:misc_RNA from 1 species